CAAGGCUGAGGCGUGAUGACGAGGCACUACGGUGCUGAAGCAACAAAUGCCCUGCUUCCAGGAAAAGCCUCUAAGCAUCAGGUAACAUCAAAUCGUACCCCAAACCGACACAGGUGGUCAGGUAGAGAAUACCAAGGCGCUUGAGAGAACUCGGGUGAAGGAACUAGGCAAAAUGGUGCCGUAACUUCGGGAGAAGGCACGCUGAUAUGUAGGUGAAGCGACUUGCUCGUGGAGCUGAAAUCAGUCGAAGAUACCAGCUGGCUGCAACUGUUUAUUAAAAACACAGCACUGUGCAAACACGAAAGUGGACGUAUACGGUGUGACGCCUGCCCGGUGCCGGAAGGUUAAUUGAUGGGGUUAGCGGCAACGCGAAGCUCUUGAUCGAAGCCCCGGUAAACGGCGGCCGUAACUAUAACGGUCCUAAGGUAGCGAAAUUCCUUGUCGGGUAAGUUCCGACCUGCACGAAUGGCGUAAUGAUGGCCAGGCUGUCUCCACCCGAGACUCAGUGAAAUUGAACUCGCUGUGAAGAUGCAGUGUACCCGCGGCAAGACGGAAAGACCCCGUGAACCUUUACUAUAGCUUGACACUGAACAUUGAGCCUUGAUGUGUAGGAUAGGUGGGAGGCUUUGAAGUGUGGACGCCAGUCUGCAUGGAGCCGACCUUGAAAUACCACCCUUUAAUGUUUGAUGUUCUAACGUUGGCCCGUAAUCCGGGUUGCGGACAGUGUCUGGUGGGUAGUUUGACUGGGGCGGUCUCCUCCUAAAGAGUAACGGAGGAGCACGAAGGUUGGCUAAUCCUGGUCGGACAUCAGGAGGUUAGUGCAAUGGCAUAAGCCAGCUUGACUGCGAGCGUGACGGCGCGAGCAGGUGCGAAAGCAGGUCAUAGUGAUCCGGUGGUUCUGAAUGGAAGGGCCAUCGCUCAACGGAUAAAAGGUACUCCGGGGAUAACAGGCUGAUACCGCCCAAGAGUUCAUAUCGACGGCGGUGUUUGGCACCUCGAUGUCGGCUCAUCACAUCCUGGGGCUGAAGUAGGUCCCAAGGGUAUGGCUGUUCGCCAUUUAAAGUGGUACGCGAGCUGGGUUUAGAACGUCGUGAGACAGUUCGGUCCCUAUCUGCCGUGGGCGCUGGAGAACUGAGGGGGGCUGCUCCUAGUACGAGAGGACCGGAGUGGACGCAUCACUGGUGUUCGGGUUGUCAUGCCAAUGGCACUGCCCGGUAGCUAAAUGCGGAAGAGAUAAGUGCUGAAAGCAUCUAAGCACGAAACUUGCCCCGAGAUGAGUUCUCCCUGACUCCUUGAGAGUCCUGAAGGAACGUUGAAGACGACGACGUUGAUAGGCCGGGUGUGUAAGCGCAGCGAUGCGUUGAGCUAACCGGUACUAAUGAACCGUGAGGCUUAACCUUACAACGCCGAAG
rnacentral:rRNA from 1 species